CUCCGCGUGGCGCAAUGGCAGCGCGUGAGACUUCUACUGCGAAAUCUCGAGGUUGCGGGUUCGACCCCCGCCGUGGAGU
rnacentral:tRNA from 1 species